UGAGCAACCUGCCUCUCAGAGGGGGAUAACGUUUGGAAACGAACGCUAAUACCGCAUGAAAUAUUGGCAUCGCAUGGUGCUGAUAUCAAAGGAGCAAUCCGCUGAGAGAUGGGCUCGCGUCCGAUUAGAUAGUUGGCGGGGUAACGGCCCACCAAGUCGACGAUCGGUAGCCGGACUGAGAGGUUGAACGGCCACAUUGGGACUGAGACACGGCCCAGACUCCUACGGAAGGCAGCAG
rnacentral:rRNA from 1 species